UGGGGAAUAUUGGGCAAUGGCCGAAAGGCUGACCCAGCGACGCCGCGUGUGGGAGGAAGCCCUUCGGGGUGUAAACCACUGUCAGGAGGGACGAAAGAUUCCAGGGUGAAUAAUCCUGGGAAGUGACGGUACCUUCAAAGGAAGCACCGGCUAACUCUGUGCCAGCAGCCGCGGUAAUACAGAGGGUGCAAGCGUUGUUCGGAAUUACUGGGCGUAAAGCGCGCGCAGGCGGAUCCUGUAAGUCGGAAGUGAAAUUUCACGGCUCAACCGUGAAGCUGCUUCUGAUACUGCGGAUCUGGAGAUCGGUAGAGGUCGGUAGAAUUACAGGUGUAGCGGUGGAAUGCGUAGAUAUCUGUAAGAAUACCCGUGGCGAAGGCGGCCGACUGGGCCGAAUCUGACGCUGAGGCGCGAAAGCGUGGGGAGCAAACAGGAUUAGAUACCCUGGUAGUCCACGCCGUAAACGAUGGGCACUAGGU
rnacentral:rRNA from 1 species